GAGCAAUCUCGAUUCGCGAACUGCAGAGCCCUCUCGAUCUCGACUUCGAUCGCCGCCGACGAUGGGCAGGGGCAAGUUCAAGGGCAAGCCGACGGGCCGCCGUAACUUCUCCACCGUAGAGGAGAUGCGUGCUGGUACAUCAUCUCGUCCCAAGUCCUUUAAGAGGGAGGAAGCCGAAGCUGAUCCUGAAGUAGAAAAUGAUUCUGAAGAGGAGUCCGGAGAUGAGUCUGGAGUAGAGGUUGAGAAAAGGAAAGGUACUCAGGGAAUUAUUGAAAUUGAGAAUCCGAAUUUGGUAAAACCAAAGACUACGAAAGCUAGAGAAGUUGAUCUCGAGAAAACAA
rnacentral:misc_RNA from 1 species